rnacentral:rRNA from 1 species
AUGGUUAUAAUAGGAGGAGAAGCUGAUGGCAAUGAAGGAGAUGGUUCUGGAAGUCAGUCCCUUUGCCGGAGGACAAAGCGUGCUGCUAAUCGCCAGCCACGCCUAAAACGUAGUGUUGAGCAGGGAGAGGAAGUUGAGGAUGUUGAUCGGUUUCGGAUUGUAAAGCGGACUAAAUGUGCAGCAGCAGCAGGGCGAGCUGAAUCAUCUACUAGGGCAGCAGUUGGUGGAGGAGCUGCCUCAUCUUCCGCAGCAGAUGCUGAGGCCAACGGUGAAGGAGUUGAGGUGGCCGCCCGGGAAGAUGUGGAGCGACCAUCACAAGCUGGCAGGUCAAGGGCAUCAUCAGGGCAGUUUGUGAAGUUCAAUAGCUCGCUAUCCCCGCCACAGAAGUCAGAGCUAGUUUCAAGGUUGUUUGGGGGCCUCUUGAAUCAGAUACACUUCCAGGGGACUUCAGUAAAUUCCUGGUGCAGUCCUACCAACCAGAGACAUCUGAAAUGGUGUUCCCAGGCAGGGGAAGUAUCUGUGUCGAUGAUGACAGUGUUCAAAGGGUAUUUGAUCUUCCUAACAUGGGUCUAA